rnacentral:rRNA from 1 species
GACGAACGCUGGCGGCGUGCUUAACACAUGCAAGUCGAACGCUGAAGACCUGGCUUUUGUUGGGUUGGAUGAGUGGCGAACGGGUGAGUAACACGUGAGUAACCUGCCCUCUUCUUUGGGAUAACGCCCGGAAACGGGUGCUAAUACUGGAUAUUCACUGGCCUUCGCAUGGGGGUUGGUGGAAAGGUUUGUUCUGGUGGGGGAUGGGCUCGCGGCCUAUCAGCUUGUUGGUGGGGUGAUGGCCUACCAAGGCUUUGACGGGUAGCCGGCCUGAGAGGGUGACCGGUCACAUUGGGACUGAGAUACGGCCCAGACGCCUACGGGAGGCAGCAGUGGGGAAUAUUGCACAGUGGGCGAAAGCCUGAUGCAGCGACGCCGCGUGAGGGAUGGAGGCCUUCGGGUUGUAAACCUCUUUCGCUCAUGGUCAAGCCGCAACUGUGGGUUGUGGUGAGGGUAGUGGGUAAAGAAGCGCCGGCUAACUACGUG